UGUGUCUGAGGCCAUGCUAGCUAGGAGAGGCUAGUGCCUAGUUGUCAUCAGGGCUGCACGUGAGCAGAAAGCCCUGCUUUUCGUGUAUUAUUAUUAUUAUUGCGUUGGUGCAAAUCUCCCAAUCCUUUAUUCACAACCGUAUUCUGUUUUUAACCCCCCUCAAAGAGAGAAAUGAAUUACAAAAGCCAGGCUUGUCAUCAACACAUUUCCAUCUAGAGGAGGAUGCAGUUAUUAGACCUGCAGACCUCUCUUCCUGUGCCAGCCCAGCUAACUCAGCCAGUGUUCUAAGCAUAAAUGAAGAUAGUCCAUGCGAUGUGCUCUACUACGUACGUCCCACAAUGCAGUUCACUCACUCAAACAAGACUGCAAUAAAGAGGGUAUACCUAGAUGCUUUAGGGAACCAAAGUCGCCUGUGCAGUAAUACAGUAUUUCAUUUCAGUUUUUCUGAGUUCAUUAUUCUUUUCCUAUUUUUCUUACGAAGACCAGAUGGACUACAGCAAACCAAAGAUUGGCCUUGAAUAGAUAACAGUGCAGUCAAAAUCCAGGAAAACACUAGUGAAAACAACUGGACUUAUUCAGUUUACAGACACCCAGGCUUUUUCACCAGUCAAUCCUCUCAUUUCCAAAGGUCAAAAUAGAGAUGUUUGUUGCUAGGCAGUUGUGUAACGUGAAUAGGUCUGCAACAGGUUUGGGGAAAUGAACACAAAAAGCUAAACAAAGGCUCACAUUUGGUUUGGUUAUUAUAGUCAUACAGUAUCUGAAUCUACUAGCGUUUCAAUAUGUCAGGGAGGGAGUGCUGAAAUAGAAUUUAACACACUAGUGAAAACCGUAUCCUUGUGUUGGCUUGCUGGUGUUCUACUGCACCAUGACUUUAGCUUGCUGGUGUUCUUCUGCACCAGGACUUUAGCUUGCUGAUGUUGUACUGCACCAUGAAUUUAGCUUGCUGGUGUUCUACUGCACCAUGACUUUAGCUUGCUGGUGUUCUACUGCACCAGUUCUGCACCAGGACUUUAGCUUGCCUGUGUUCUACUGCACCAGUUCUGCACCAGGACUUUAGCUUGCUGGUGUUCUACUGUACCAGUUCUGCACCAGGACUUUAGCUUGCUGGUGUUCUACUGCACCAGGACUUUAGCUUGCUGGUGUUCUUCUGCACCAGGACUUUAGCUUGCUGGUGUUCUACUGCACCAGGACUUGAGCUUGCUGGUGUACUACUGCACCAGUUCUGCACCAGGACUUUAGCUUGCCGGUGUUCUACUGCACCAGUUCUGCACCAUGACUUUAGCUUGCUGGUGUUCUACUGCACCAGUUCUGCACCAUGACUUUAGCUUUCUGGUGUUCUACUGCACCAGUUCUGCACCAGGACUUUAGCUUGCCAGUGUUCUACUGCACCAGUUCUGCACCAUGACUUUAGCUUGCUGGUGUUCUACUGCACCAGUUCUGCACCAGAACUUUAGCUUGCUGGUGCUCUACUGCACCAUGACUUUAGCUUGCUGAUGUUGUACUGCACUAUGACUUUAGCUUGCUGGUGUUCUACUGCACCAUGACUUUAGCUUGCUGGUGUUCUACUGCACCAGUUCUGCACCAGGACUUUAGCUUGCUGGUGUUCUUCUGCACCAUGACUUUAGCUUGCUGGUGUUCUACUGCACCAGUUCUGCACCAUGACUUUAGCUUGCUGGUGUUCUUCUGCACCAUGACUUUAGCUUGCUGGUGUUCUACUGCACCAGUUCUGCACCAGGACUUUAGCUUGCUGGUGUUCUACUGCACCAGUUCUGCACCAUGACUUUAGCUUGCUUGUGUUCUACUGCACCAGGACUUUAGCUUGCUGGUGUUCUACUGCACCAGUUCUGCACCAGGACUUUAGCUUGCUGGUGUUCUACUGCACCAGUUCUGCACCAUGACUUUAGCUUGCUGGUGUGGUGGAUAAACAUUUUAGGAGUUAAACACUUUUUUGAAGAAUUUGCUGUUAAUGAGAGAAAAAAAGAUUAUUUUAUACAUGGCCUGCUGAUUUUUGGUACAGUGUUUUCUAGCUAAAUUAUUUUGUCAUGCACAUAUAAACAUUUUAUGCACUACUUUUCUAAAUAUUUCUUUUUUUCUUCCCAACAGUCAUUUUAGGCACAUUUUUCACAAAUGGGGAAAACUCCUUUUUGCAAUACCUCAAUUUUUCACAUUGUGAAAGUGCUGAGGAAUCUUCACAACCAAGUAGCGUGCGUGCAUUGACGCGACUUCCGAAACGGCAGAGGAACGAUCAGUGUACUGCUUAAAGGUCUUAGACCUUAUACACUAGAUGUUUCACAAAAAUCAGAUCUUAACAGCAUGGCGAGGACAAAGUUGUCAUUUAAAAUUUUAAUGUUAUUGUUUAAAAAAAAAAUGGCUAUCCUAGUUGGGGAAAAUGGUAACUUCUCUUUUUGGUUUCCUCUCCAUAGCUGGAAUAUAACUAUUAUAAGGAUAAUGCAAAUUAUGGUUCAUGCUUCGGCUGAAUCUCGUAUCACAAGAAUGGAUGUUUGGUGUUUAGAUAUUUUAACAUUUGAAAAUAUAUAUUCUUGAACUUGCCAACUAGCUCCUAUUGUAAUCCUUAGCAUGCAUGACGAAAAAAAGAUAAGUACAUGAAUUAGCUAUUGAAUUUGAUUGUUGUGGUUGUGCACCAGAUGUUUCUCAACUUUAAUUUGUUAAGGACACCCCCACACCUCACUUCUCUCCCAUGUGUUGAUAUCUUUGCCUUCUCCAUACUCAGACCUCUGCAGGAUGCAAAGAAAAAAAAGAUGAGAAAAUAAGAAAAAAACGAACUCUAAAAUCUAUUUUAGCAGUGGAGGACUUGAGCAUCUUAUAGGACACUGUUGAAAAGACUUGUUAACUCAUCUCCACUGUCUGUUGAGGUAAUUCAACCGUUUUGGAAGAAGGGGAACUUUAAGACUUGAAUGUGGUAAAUGUUGCAAGUUAACUUCGAGUUGUUAUGUGCAAUACAUUUUAUUUUAUUUUUUUCCAGAUAAAGACUCUUUGCAAUGUAAUUCUUUAAUGCCAUUUUUAAUUGCAGACAUUUAAAGAAGACGUUAAUAUGUUUUUCAGUCAUUUUCUACUGUUAUUGUAAUCCUUUUCAUGCUGGUGUUUGUAAAAAAGAAAAAGAAAUCAAACUAUUUGUACUAAUAUAAAUAAUUGAAGUUAUUUUUAAAACAUUAAAGGUUUUGUGCUCAUUUGUUUAUUUCAAGCUACUGUGAUUGCAUUGUAAUUAUUAGGUCAAUAAUGUAUUUAGCUGUUUAUUGGUAUAUUUUUAAUUGGAAUGUAUAAUUUUUAUAAUUUUGAUCAGAUUUUUGUUAUAUUUUUGAGGUGAAGCUUUUAAAGUGUCUAGUUUUUACUAAUUGCUAUAUUGUGCUCCACAAUAUAUGAUUAACAUUUUCUGAAGGAAAAUAAAUAUUUAAAUAUUUGUCUGUUAAUGAUGUUACUUAAUGGCAAAAUUUCAAUAGUUUUUAACUGUAUGGGAAGGUUGUUGUAUUUAUUAAUAGCAUUUUUUACUUAAGAUAUCACCUUAAUUUCUAUUGUCAUUUCACUUUAUAAGUUCCUAUUUUUGUAUUUUCCUUUCUAAUUAAGUUAUGUAAUACAAAAUGUCCAUAUUUCUAGGAGUUGGUCUGUAGCAGUGCUAGUGAAACGAAAAAUACAAUUCUGUUAUUUAAUUGUUUGCAGCCAACUAUUUAUAACAGUGCAUCAUUUUGAAAUAUUUGUAAUGUGAAAUGUUGAAUGAAUAAAACUUAACUGUGAUAAGG